UUACGGUCAUAUCACGUUGAAACACAAGUUCUCGUAAGAUCACCGAUGUUAAGCAACGUCGAUCCUGGUCACUACCUAGAUGGGUAACCGCUUGCGAAUACUGAGUGAUGUAA